rnacentral:misc_RNA from 1 species
GUUAGGGCCAAGGUUUCAAGAUAUCAUAUCCAGCGGCUUGGAAUUAAUGUUGAAGUGGUUUCUGAUUUAAAUCAAGCUUUAUGUAGCACAAGCAAUGGGAAUGCAGUUGUCAACAUGGUUCUUAUUGAACAGGAAGUUUGGGAUAGGGAUUCAAGCAAAUCAGCUCUAUUUGUCAAUAAUAUUAGGAAAAUUGAUCACAGUGUUUCUCUAAAACUAUUCCUUCUGGCUAAUUCUAUCAGUUCUUUCAGAACAAAUGAUGCAACUUCUGGUGUUU